UUUUUGCAAGGAUUUUUUUUUUUUUCCUAAACAGAUGUUGUGAGAGCAUCUUAAUGCAUCCAAAGUGCAGUUAUAUCAAUUAUUAUAGUAAACACUUCCUACGUUUUUUCUAUUUGAACUUUAUGCCUAGUCCAGAAUCUGGUGAAUUAAAUUAAGGCUUCUGUUGGCUUCAGUGGCCUUUGAAUCGUAUCCUUCAUAAGCAGGAAGUUUGAAUGGCUGGCUGUUCUUCAUAAAAUGUGCUGGCAUAAAUUGUGGAGCAAUGUGUAUCAGUCAUGAAUGGUAAUCUUUUCUUUUCCAAUACUGUAUGCAGAUAAAAGAUUUUAGCAUAUGUAAAUAAUUGAAUAUGGACCACAGUUUCACUAUCACUGUCACAUGAGCAUAUGUGCAAUAGCAAGAAUACGUUAUCCAAGAAAUCAGAAGUUUACUUUAAAAUUUAAUUCCGCAAGGUUUUGGUCACCUUUUUACAUUUUAUUUAAAAGAGAUUUAAAAAGAGAAGCUGAGAAGAAACCUGCCUACCCAGCCAUUUCCCUGUCAGAGCAGGGAGCCAGGCUCAGACCUGCACUUUGGGCUGGACCCCUUCUGCGGCAGAGCGCACGCUGUGCGAACGUGGGGAGGCAGAGUGGCGCGGCCAGGCCUGCUGAAGAUGGAUGCUUCCCACAGCACCUGUGGAGAACCCCGUAAGGAACCGGUGUGCGCUCCUGCGCCUGACAAGUGUCCCCUACCCCUCAAGAAGAAGAAGAAGGAGGAGGAAAAAAGCAAAAAUAAGGCAGAGGAAGAAAGAAGAGAAAGUGUGUUUUAAAUUAAAAUAUUUUAUCAUCUUUGUACAGCUACUAUGGCAGGACAAGUUGUUUGUUGUUGUUUUUCUUUCUGACGAAGUGUCAUUUCUCUUAAUUUAAGGUAAAGAAUCAUCGGCUGGAUGUAGUAGGUAGAAAAGCGAUAUCCCAGAACAAGUAAUAGCUCAUCUUUUUAGCGCAUCAGAAUAUUUCUAACAGUUGAGAUUGGGUGACUGCUGUAUUUGAUUUCUUGUUGUUUUCUACUAUGCUGUACUUAAUCUGCAGCUGCUGUUUUAAGUAAAUUGCAGAAAACACGUUGCACCCUCAAGGAGACCAGUCUUUGCCAUCACUGUAGUAGGAAUGACUCAAAACUUCUUUAUAAAGACCUCUCAUGGCCCCCACCCUUCCAGAAGAGCCAUCCAUGCUCCCCCCGUUUUUGCUGCACUAAAAGUGCCUUUUAUGUAGAUCUUUUUGGUAGACAUUUUUAUAUAUGUGGUUUCAGAAAUAAUUUAGUAAAUGAAUGAUGCCUGUAGAUGUUCAUAAAGAUCAGUAACUGAAAACUCAGUAAUCAAACUGAGCCAUCUUAUCUAUUAUCAUAAUCUAACACGUACCAUUAUUUUAUUGACGAGAGAGAGGAGCAGCAAAAUGGUCUUCUAUGCACGGUUUUAUUUAUUUACUUUUUCUCCCCCAAAAAGAUGGAUAUUGAAGUGAAUCACUCUCAACAUAGUUAACUAACCACAAACUUCCUCUGGACUUACUGUAAUAAGUUGCUAUUGUUAUUAAGCAGUAAAGUAUAGAGUACAGAGGAUGGUAGCUGCCCUGUAUUGAACAUUAACUUUCCAGUAUUCGUUGUUUCAGAUUUGUAUUUGCUCAGAGAGGAGUAGAAGUUCUUCUGUUUAAUCCUCAGUGGUUGCUAAUGCAACUUGUAUGCUUGGUGAAUUUUUAAGUUUUUGGAGAAAUAGUGUUUGACUAUCUGGCUGCGAAUUAUCUGGGUUGUGGAUUAACCUCGCUCUGUCCUUCUCACUUCACCUCUGCCUGCACUGUGCCACAGUGUGCCUGACAAUGUGUUGUUCAUCCCAGGCUCUGCUCUGCGUACUGUGAUAAAAAUCUUGCCCCAUUCUUUUCAUAAACCUGUCAUAUCUUUUGCAUCAUCUUGCCGUGCUUUGUUUCAUUACACAACACUGCUUUUUUUUUUUUUUUGGAAAAAAAAAAAAAAAGAUUUAUCAAGAAGCCAAAGUUGGUCAUGGCCAGAUUCAGACUGGAAGAGACAGUUUUUCUUUGCUUUUUGGGGUCAUGUGGACCUGAGCUGCAAAAAAAGACUCAGCUCAGAAUCAAGAGGGCAGGUAUUAGAGUGGUUUUAUGAAUGUGGGUUACAGAUAAACACUGAAAAAAAAAACCUCUUGUGUUCCCUCCACGAAAAUACUUUGUCUAGUUAAAGGUGUGUGUUUGAGUAGCCCAGUCAACAUAAAAUCAAAGGCCUAACUGAGAUGUUUCCACAGAUCAUUUCCAAGAACUGUGCUACACCUUUGAAAUUCAAGUGAACACUUAUAGUUGAGCAAUUCACUGUCAAAUGAAUAAAUGGUUUCCAAAGGUUAGGAAAGGUCA
rnacentral:lncRNA from 1 species